rnacentral:rRNA from 1 species
ACGGGAGGCAGCAGCAGGGAAUCUUGCGCAAUGGGCGAAAGCCUGACGCAGCAACGCCGCGUGGGGGAUGAAGGCCUUCGGGUUGUAAACCCCUUUCAGGAGGGAAGAAAUUGACGGUACCUCCAAAAGAAGCCCCGGCCAACUACGUGCCAGCAGCCGCGGUAAUACGUAGGGGGCGAGCGUUGUCCGGAAUCAUUGGGCGUAAAGAGCUCGUAGGCGGUUCAGCAAGUCGGCUGUGAAAUUCCGAGGCUCAACCUCGGAACUGCAGUCGAUACUGCUGUGACUCGAGUCCGGUAGAGGAGAAUGGAAUUCCCGGUGUAGCGGUGAAAUGCGCAGAUAUCGGGAGGAACACCAGUAGCGAAGGCGGUUCUCUGGGCCGGUACUGACGCUGAGGAGCGAAAGCGUGGGGAGCAAACAGGAUUAGAUACCCUGGUA